GACGAACGCUGGCGGCGUGCCUAAUACAUGCAAGUAGAACGCUGAAGCUUGGUGCUUGCACCGAGCGGAUGAGUUGCGAACGGGUGAGUAACGCGUAGGUAACCUGCCUGGUAGCGGGGGAUAACUAUUGGAAACGAUAGCUAAUACCGCAUAAGAGUAGAUGUUGCAUGACAUUUGCUUAAAAGGUGCAAUUGCAUCACUACCAGGUGGACCUGCGUUGUAUUAGCUAGUUGGUGAGGUAACGGCUCACCAAGGCAACGAUACAUAGCCGACCUGAGAGGGUGAUCGGCCACACUGGGACUGAGACACGGCCCAGACUCCUACGGGAGGCAGCAGUAGGGAAUCUUCGGCAAUGGACGGAAGUCUGACCGAGCAACGCCGCGUGAGUGAAGAAGGUUUUCGGAUCGUAAAGCUCUGUUGUAAGAGAAGAACGAGUGUGAGAGUGGAAAGUUCACACUGUGACGGUAUCUUACCAGAAAGGGACGGCUAACUACGUG
rnacentral:rRNA from 1 species